rnacentral:lncRNA from 1 species
UUGAGGUUUCUGAUAAUUGUAUUUGGAUAGUUGGAAAUGGAUCAAAAAUCAAUUACUGGCUUGAUAAUUGGAUUGGUUCACCUUUAGUUGAUCUCCUGAAUAUCCCUGUCCAACUCCACGGUUUUUUGUUGGCAAAGGUGGACCAGUUCAUUCAGAAUCGGAGGUGGACUAUUCCUGCUUGGUUGGCUACGGGUCAUCCUAAUAUUGUGGAUUCCAUUGUCAAAAUUCAUGUCUCUAACUAUGAUCAGGGUGACAAAUUGGUUUGGAUGCACUCUUC